AUUGAACGCUGGCGGCAGGCCUAACACAUGCAAGUCGAGCGAGCGGCGGACGGGUGAGUAAUGUCUGGGGACUGCCCGAUAGAGGGGGAUAACUACUGGAAACGGUGGCUAAUAACGCAUACUAUCGGAUAACCCAUAUGGGAUUAGCUAGGAGGUAAGGUAAUGGCUUACCUAGGCGACGAACCCUAGCUGGUCUGAGAGGAUGAUCAGCCACGCUGGAGCUGAGCCACGGCCCAGACUCCUACGGAGGCAGCAGUGGGGAAUAUUGCACAAUGGGCGCAAGCCGGAUGCAGCCAUGCCGCGUGUAUGAAGAAGGCCCUAGGGUUGUAAAGUACUUUCAGUCGGGAGGCGUUGCCGACAGAAGAAGCACCGGCUAACUCCGUGCCAGCAGCCGCGGUAAUUC
rnacentral:rRNA from 1 species